UGGGGAAUUUUGGACAAUGGGCGAAAGCCUGAUCCAACAAUGCCGCGUGUGUGAAGAAGGCCUUCGGGUUGUAAAGCACUUUUGUCCGGAAAGAAAUCCUUGGCUCUAAUACAGUCGGGGGAUGACGGUACCGGAAGAAUAAGCACCGGCUAACUACGUGCCAGCAGCCGCGGUAAUACGUAGGGUGCAAGCGUUAAUCGGAAUUACUGGGCGUAAAGCGUGCGCAGGCGGUUUGCUAAGACCGAUGUGAAAUCCCCGGGCUCAACCUGGGAACUGCAUUGGUGACUGGCAGGCUAGAGUAUGGCAGAGGGGGGUAGAAUUCCACGUGUAGCAGUGAAAUGCGUAGAGAUGUGGAGGAAUACCGAUGGCGAAGGCAGCCCCCUGGGCCAAAUACUGACGCUCAUGCACGAAAGCGUGGGGAGCAAAACAGGAUUAGAUACCCUGGUAGUCCACGNCCCUAAACGAUGUCAACUAGUUGUUGGGGAUUCAUUUCCUUAGUAACGUAGCUAACGCGUGAAGUUGACCGCCUGGGGAGUACGGUCGCAAGAUUAAAACUCAAAUGAAUUGAC
rnacentral:rRNA from 1 species